rnacentral:tRNA from 2 species
UGCCGGUUUAGCUCAGUAGGUAGAGCGCUUCACUUGUAAUGAAGAUGUCGGCGGUUCAAUUCCGUCAACCGGCACCAA